UACGUAGGGUGCAAGCGUUAUCCGGAAUUAUUGGGCGUAAAGAGCUCGUAGGCGGCUUGUCGCGUCGACUGUGAAAUCCCGCGGCUCAACUGCGGGUCUGCAGUCGAUACGGGCAGGCUAGAGUUCGGUAGGGGGAGACUGGAAUUCCUGGUGUAGCGGGUGAAAAUGCGCAGAUAUCAGGAGGAACACCGGUGGCGAAGGCGGGUCUCUGGGCCGAUACUGACGCUGAGGAGCGAAAAGCGUGGGGGAGCGAACAGGAUUAGAUACCCCCGGU
rnacentral:rRNA from 1 species